GAUGAACGCUGGCGGCGUGCUUAACACAUGCAAGUCGAACGGAAAGGCCCUGCUUUUGUGGGGUGCUCGAGUGGCGAACGGGUGAGUAACACGUGAGUAACCUGCCCUUGACUUUGGGAUAACUUCAGGAAACUGGGGCUAAUACCGGAUAGGAGCUCCUGCUGCAUGGUGGGGUUUGGAAGGUUCGGCGGUUGGGGAUGGACUCGCGGCUUAUCAGCUUGUUGGUGGGGUAGUGGCUUACCAAGGCUUUGACGGGUAGCCGGCCUGAGAGGGUGACCGGCCACAUUGGGACUGAGAUACGGCCCAGACUCCUACGGGAGGCAGCAGUGGGGAAUAUUGCACAAUGGGCGGAAGCCUGAUGCAGCAACGCCGCGUGCGGGAUGACGGCCUUCGGGUUGUAAACCGCUUUCGCCUGUGACGAAGCGUGAGUGACGGUAAUGGGUAAAGAAGCACCGGCUAACUACGUG
rnacentral:rRNA from 1 species